GCGCCUGUAGCUCAGAGGAAGAGCGGCGGCCUUCUAAGCCGCGGGUCGGGGGUUCGAAUCCCUCCAGGCGCA
rnacentral:tRNA from 1 species